GAUGAACGCUGGCGGCGUGCCUAAUACAUGCAAGUCGAGCGAACGGACGAGAAGCUUGCUUCUCUGAUGUUAGCGGCGGACGGGUGAGUAACACGUGGAUAACCUACCUAUAAGACUGGGAUAACUUCGGGAAACCGGAGCUAAUACCGGAUAAUAUUUUGAACCGCAUGGUUCAAAAGUGAAAGACGGUCUUGCUGUCACUUAUAGAUGGAUCCGCGCUGCAUUAGCUAGUUGGUAAGGUAACGGCUUACCAAGGCAACGAUGCAUAGCCGACCUGAGAGGGUCAUCCGCCACCCUGGAUCUGAGACACGGUCCCGACUCCUACGGGAGGCCGCAGUCGGGACUCCUCCGCAAUGGGCGAGAGCCUGACGGAGCAACGCCGCGUGAGUGCUGAAGGUCUUCGGCUCGUAAAACUCUGUUAUUAGUGAAGAACAUAUGUGUAAGUAACUGUGCACAUCUUGACGGUACCUAAUCAGAAAGCCCCGGCUAACUACGUG
rnacentral:rRNA from 1 species